rnacentral:lncRNA from 1 species
CUUGGCCAUAAACCCCUUCCCCUCCCCUCUCCUCCCCAACUAUAUAUUCUUGGCCGUAUAGUAUAUGAUUUAUUAAUGUUUCAUCAAUUAUUUGUAUAUUAAUGUUUUAUCAAUUAAUGAUAAUUAUAAUCAUAAUUGAUUACUAGACCAACUUUAAAUACGUCUUUGCCUUUUCGUAGCCACCGUUUCAUUCUUUCAUUUUGCUUAUUUUUUAUGAAAUUUUAAAAUAUAUUUACCUAAUAUGUAAAAUAAUUAAAUUUUAAAUUUAAGCUCUCAGUAUCAAUCAUUAUAAGAUUAAUUCUAUUUGAAUGUUCUCGCGCCGAUCCUCCUCUACACAUAUCGCCUUUGCAAUCUCCAUGCCACCGAUCCCAUUCGUCAGUAUUUUUUUUUUCAAAAAUAACAAUUUUUUAUAUAGAUUUGAGUGAUUUGGCGAAAAUUAGCAACAUUUUGAGGUUAAUGAGAUUUUUUUUGGUUCAUGAGCGAUUUUGCAUGAAUAGGUGACAUUUUGAAAUGCUAUAUAUUAUAGAAAUAUUAUAUGUUACUUGCACAAUUAUUGUUCGUACUAUAUUACACCUUCCAGACUAAAUGAAUGAACAAUUUAUAUUAUAUAUGUUAGUAUAUUUCUAUAUACUCUAAUUAGGAUUUACUUAAAAUAUUUUUUUUCCUGUUU